UUAGGUGUCACUGAUAGAUUUUGAGAGCAAUUAGAAUGAUCUUGAUGAUCGAUCAUUCUAAUUAUCUGAAUCAGAAGAGUUCUGGUCCAUCGAAAGGAGUUUCGAUGAUGUCGAUGAUGAGAUCACGACAUGUCUCAUUACCAUACAGAAUUGAACCUAACUAGGUCACACUAACAAGAGUUAGGAUCUGGAUGUCAUCAAUUGGGCUAGCCCAAUUGAUUUGGAUUAGAUCCAAUUAGGUUCA
rnacentral:lncRNA from 1 species